AACGAACGCUGGCGGCGCGUUUUAAGCAUGCAAGUCGAGCGGUAAGGGUCCUUCGGGACCCCAGAGCGGCGGACGGGUGAGUAACACGUGGAUAAUCUGCCUCUCAGUCCGGGAUAGCACAUGGAAACAUGUGAUUAAUACCGGAUACGAUGCGUCAUUCACAUGAGUGAUGCAGGAAAGGUCCUGCGGGAUCGCUGGGGAGAUGAGUCCGCGGCCCAUUAGCUUGUUGGCGGGGUAAACGGCCCACCAAGGCGACGAUGGGUAGCCGGCCUGA
rnacentral:rRNA from 1 species